UUCACAAAACCCUACGAGCUAUCCCCGUUCCAAUUGAAGACCAGCAAUCAUUCUCUAAUGUUUCUUCUUCCUUUUAUCAAUCUCAAGGUUUUCGUUGUUCCUUCUGGAGAUUUCGUUUUCGUUAGGGUUUCCUUCUGAACCCAAAUGCUUAAAUGCUUGAGGUUUAUUCCAAUGGGUAAAUCGGAAACGCAACAAAAUUUCCGAUUGAUUUGAAGCCAGAGGUAGAAUUAAAAGAUAUUAAUCAAAUCUGAACCAAGUUUUAGAAGAAGAAGCAAUUCGCAAAAGAAAAGUUGUUUGUGAAGAGGUUAUCUUUUCGAUGAUGGAAUGCAUGCACUUUAAAGACUAAGGAUGUCGCCAGAUGCAGUCUAUCUGAAAUGAUCUCGCAUAUCAAGGCUUGUGAAUUAGAUGAUAAGCAGAGGGAAACUAAUCAUAAAAAUAGUUUGCUUGUUGCAGCUUUUACUACAACACCCUCUGCUUCCAACAAUGUUGCCCUCGUGUCAAAAACUGGAUUCCAGAUGUUCAAAGGAUCCACACCAGCUAAAGCCGCACAAGAAUGGGCACUAGCAAAUGUGUUCUAUCCAACAGCACCUGCUUCAUCAUCAUUCAACGCUACUGUAGUCUCAAGUGUCAAGAAUGAAUUCUUAGCAUUUUUCUCAUAACAGACCAAGGAAAAUCCAGAAAUUGCCACCUCUAUUAUAAACUGUUUGAAUACUUUUGUUGCAGGUGAUAUUACUCCUCCUAAUUUUGUCAUGUCUGAUUUGGAUCAGAUGUAUCCAGAUGAUGUAGAGGAAAUGGACAUUACAUGGCAAAUGGCUAUGGCAACUUUCAGAGCUAAGAAUUUUUUGAAGAGAACUGGAAAGAACAACUGGACUAAUUCUGGAGACCGUAAGGUGGGAAUUAACAAGUCCAAAAUUUGAUGCUUUAACUGUCAUGAGCCAGGGCACUUAGCAAGGAACUGUACCAAGCCUCCAGCAAACGGAAACGCAACCCCUCCUCAACCUGCUGCCAAAAACCAACCUAACCCUGAAAGAGUGGUUGUUUCAGCAAAUACUACAGCGACUGCUUCCAGUGGAACUACUUCUAACACAGCCAUGGUGAUUCAGUCUGACGCAUCCUUUGAAACUGUUGGGCAUAAAGUGUUUCGGGUCAACAAAUUCAUUCCAUAUUUGCUUCAUUAUGUGUUUGCAUUCGUCAUUAUUUUUGGGUUUGUUGGUUUAGUGUUGGGCUUGCAGAUUCAUUCAAAUGGCACUGCUUGGAUUCUCAACGUAGUUGAAAUAACAAAAGUUGCAUUGAUCGAGAGAGAAUGCAUAUUGGAUAACCAGAAGUUGAUUUGAUUGAUGGACCCAAACCAAAAGGAAAACAUUCAUUCCUUUAAUCUUGGCGUUUCAACUAA